UACAGAGGGGGCAAGCGUUAUUCGGAAUCACUGGGCGUAAAGGGCGCGUAGGCGGGAUGGCAAGUCGGUCGUGAAAUCCUUCGGCUCAACCGAAGAACGUCGGCCGAUACUGCCGUUCUUGAGGGAUGCAGAGGAGAUUGGAAUUCCCGGUGUAGCGGUGAAAUGUGUAGAGAUCGGGAGGAACACCGGUGGCGAAGGCGGGUCUCUGGGCAUCUCCUGACGCUGAGGCGCGAAAGCGUGGGGAGCAAACGGG
rnacentral:rRNA from 1 species